GAUGAACGCUAGCUAUAGGCUUAACACAUGCAAGUCGAGGGGAAACGGCAUUAUGUGCUUGCACAUUUUGGACGUCGACCGGCGCACGGGUGAGUAUCGCGUAUCCAACCUGCCCUUUACUUGGGGAUACCCCGUUGAAAGACGGCCUAAUACCCGAUGUAAUUCAUUGAUGGCAUCAGAUAUGAAUAAAAGAUUUAUCGGUAAAGGAUGGGGAUGCGUCUGAUUAGCUUGUUGGUGAGGUAAUGGCUCACCAAGGCGACGAUCAGUAGGGGUUCUGAGAGGAAGGUCCCCCACAUUGGAACUGAGACACGGUCCAAACUCCUACGGGAGGCAGCAGUGAGGAAUAUUGGUCAAUGGGCGCAAGCCUGAACCAGCCAAGUAGCGUGCAGGAAGACGGCCCUAUGGGUUGUAAACUGCUUUUAUACGAGAAUAAUUUGAUGCACGUGUGCGUUAUUGCAUGUAUCGUAUGAAUAAGGACCGGCUAAUUCCGUGCCAGCAGCCGCGGUAAUACGGAAGGUCCAGGCGUUAUCCGGAUUUAUUGGGUUUAAAGGGAGUGUAGGCGGUUUGUUAAGCGUGUUGUGAAAUUUAGAUGCUCAACAUUUAACUUGCAGCGCGAACUGGCGAACUUGAGUGCACACAACGUAUGCGGAAUUCAUGGUGUAGCGGUGAAAUGCUUAGAUAUCAUGAAGAACUCCGAUUGCGAAAGGCAGCAUACGGGAGUGUAACUGACGCUUAAGCUCGAAAGGUGCGGGUAUCGAACAGG
rnacentral:rRNA from 1 species